UACGUAGGGGGCGAGCGUUGUCCGGAUUCAUUGGGCGUAAAGAGCGCGCAGGCGGUCGUUCAAGUCGAGUGUGAAAGCCCCCGGCUCAACUGGGGAGGGUCAUUCGAUACUGAUCGACUCGAAGGCAGGAGAGGGAAGUGGAAUUCCCGGUGUAGUGGUGAAAUGCGUAGAUAUCGGGAGGAACACCAGUGGCGAAGGCGACUUCCUGGCCUGUUCUUGACGCUGAGGCGCGAAAGCUAGGGGAGCAAACGGG
rnacentral:rRNA from 1 species